rnacentral:rRNA from 1 species
AACGUAGGAGACAAACGUUAUCCGGAGUUACUGGGCGUAAAGGGCGUGUAGGUGGUUGUGUAAGUCUGGCGUGAAAUUUUUCGGCUUAACCGGGAAAGGUCGUCGGAUACUGCGUAGCUAGAGGACGGUAGAGGCGUGUGGAAUUCCGGGUGUAGUGGUGAAAUGCGUAGAGAUCCGGAGGAACACCAGUGGCGAAGGCGACGCGCUGGGCCGUACCUGACACUGAUGCGCGACAGCAUGGGGAGCAAACAGG